rnacentral:rRNA from 1 species
GACGAACGCUGGCGGCGUGCUUAACACAUGCAAGUCGAACGGUGAAGCAGAGCUUGCUCUGUGGAUCAGUGGCGAACGGGUGAGUAACACGUGAGUAACCUGCCCUUGACUCUGGGAUACGCGUUGGAAACGACGUCUAAUACCGGAUACGAGCUGAGACCGCAUGGUCAUCAGUUGGAAAGAUUUUUUGGUCAAGGAUGGACUCGCGGCCUAUCAGCUUGUUGGUGAGGUAAUGGCUCACCAAGGCGACGACGGGUAGCCGGCCUGAGAGGGUGACCGGCCACACUGGGACUGAGACACGGCCCAGACUCCUACGGGAGGCAGCAGUGGGGAAUAUUGCACAAUGGGCGCAAGCCUGAUGCAGCAACGCCGCGUGAGGGAUGACGGCCUUCGGGUUGUAAACCUCUUUUAGUAGGGAAGAAGCGAAAGUGACGGUACCUGCAGAAAAAGCACCGGCUAACUACGUG